GACGUAGGGUCCAAGCGUUGUCCGGAUUUACUGGGCGUAAAGCGCGUGUAGGCGGCCCGGUAAGUCCGCUGUGAAAGUCCAGGGCUCAACCCUGGGAUGCCGGUGGAUACUGUCGGGCUCGAGUCCGGAAGAGGCGAGUGGAAUUCCUGGUGUAGCGGUGAAAUGCGUAGAGAUCAUGAGGAAGACCAGUGGCGAAGGCGGGUCUCUGGACAGUUCCUGACACUGAGGCACGAAGGCCAGGGGAGCAAACGGG
rnacentral:rRNA from 1 species